rnacentral:misc_RNA from 1 species
AAACGGUGGCCUGGGGUGCGCAAGAUCUCUUUUGUUGCUCACUCCUUGGGUGGCCUUGUAGCAAGAUAUGCUAUUGGGAGGUUGUAUGAACCUCCAGUGCAAACAGAAGUAGCUGGUCUUAAUCGCUCCUGCUUAGUCAGGGAAGAGAAUGUAUCUGACCAGUGUCACAAGCAGUCUUCUGAAGAAACUGUUGCUGGUUUGGAACCUGUGAACUUCAUAACAGUUGCAACUCCGCAUUUGGGCUCAAGAGGGCAUAAACAGCUGCCACUUCUCUGCGGUCUUCCUUUGCUGGAGAAAGGGGCAUUACAAACUGCUCACUGGAUUGCCGGGAGAUCUGGAAAGCAUCUAUUCCUCACUGAUAAAGAUAAUGGGAAGCCUCCCCUCCUCCUAAGGAUGGUCAAUGAUUCAGACGAUCUCAUGUUCAUGUCAGGAUUACGCUCAUUUAAGCGUCGUGUGGCAUAUGCAAAUGCAAACUAUGACCAUGUUGUUGGAUGGAGAACAUCGUCAAUCCGUCGUCAGGAUGAACUUCCAAAGUCUAACCUUCAAAUAAAGGAUCAGAAAUACCCACAUAUCGUAAACGUUGAGCAAGAAACCACUCUGGAUAUCAACCAUAAAUUAUCUUCACUGGAAGGGAAGAAAAUGGCUGAUUUAGAAGAGGAGAUGAUUGAAGGCCUUACACAAGUACCAUGGGAACGAAUUGAUGUUAGUUUUCAUGAAAGCAGACAACGAUAUGUUGCACACAAUACUAUUCAGGUGAAAACUUAUUGGCUUAAUUCAGAUGGCGCCGAUGUGAUUGAACAUAUGAUAGAUAACUUCCUUCUCUAAUUGUCUGUCAUGGUGGGAUCUCCUUUGAUUUUCAGUAACACCUAUGGACUCUUAGUCACAAGCAUAGACGCGAAUUGGAGCAUCAUCAUCGCUAAAAUCGUUGUCUUGUAUGUAUAUCAUGUGUGAAUGUAUCUUCAAAAACCUCACAAAGUUUUCCUUUUAUCAGAAUUUUUGUAACAUGUUCUCUCAUUUGUGCUUCACUUUAUUUUGUUGAUGGAUUGAUGGGAUUUUGUAU